CUAAACCCAAGGGAAUUUUUCAAACCAGCAGGGGUCAUUUGGUUACAAGGAACAAAAAUCCCUUCGAACUGGCUCAAAUAAAAAGGGGAAUGAGGCAUUGUAAAGAUAGGCCAAGGAAUCUGGCUGACAUCUCCAGGCAGAAAAUAAACACUGGGAAAAUGUAUUGGGAAACCGAAAGUCAGGAAUGAAACUCCCUCUCUCUCUCUCUCUCCCUCUCUCUCUCUCUGGGGCUCUCGGGGCCCAUAGCUCUUCUUUCUCUGCCCGUCUUCUGCAUUUCCUCCUCUGCAGUGUGAUUUUCUGUGCUGGCUCACUUUCCACUCCUCCUGAACUUUCUGUUUCUUACGGGGUUGCUUCGUUAGGUUGGCGACUAUGGCCUCAGUUCUACAAGAACCAACUGCAGCCUCCACUAUCCAAAUUUCAGUCUCAGCAUCUCUUAAUUUGAAUUCUCAAGAUCGGAACUACUAUAGACAUGUUCUAAUGGGCUCUGAUUAAAUUCUUCAGGCCAGCUUGUACUUGUUCCCAGGGCGACUGGGGAGGCAACAGAAGCUCACAAGACUUCUUGGAUCUAGGAUGAGAACUGUCAUAGCAUCACUUUGACUGUAUUCCAUGGGCUAAUGCCAGUCACAGAGCACUACCUUUUGAUGGGAGAAGCUGCAACGUCACGCUGCAUAGAGCAUGGAUGCAGACAAGGAUGGAGAUUUGGGCCACUUUUAUAAUUAAUCUGCUAUAUUAUGUCUUCCUAAAACUUUUUCAUAUUCAGAGACUAGCCCUUCUGAAUCAUUUCCCACUUAGAAUACAGUAUCUAGUGAAACCCCCCAAUUUGGUCCUCAGGGUUAUUAAGCACAUUCCGCAGAAGAGUUCUCCUCUGUUGUCCCUGUGAUUUUAUUCCAAGCCACUGAUAUGUGUUCUGCAAGUUUCAAUGCUGACCCUUUCUUGAUUUUGUCAGAAGGAGCAUAAAGAAAAUACCAACAUAAAUUAGUCACACCAAACUUUCUUUUACCUAUUCUUAGAAAUUUGGAGGUUUUUCUGACUCUGGUUGCAUUACUUGGCAUGUGUAGUGGGCUGCAUGGUGGCCCAAAGGAUAUGAGAUCUUAACCUCUGAAGACUGUAAACGUCACCUUAUUUGGAAAAAGGGUCUUUGCGGAUGUGAUUCAGUUAAAGGUGCUGAGAUGGAGAGAUCCUCCUGGAUUAUGUGCGUGAGCCCUAAAUGCCAUGCGAGAGUCUUGAUAAGAGAAAGGGGGAGGCAGAUUUGAAAAACAGAAGAGGAAAAGGUGAGGUGAAGACAGAGGCAGAGAUGGGAGUGAUGCAGCCCCCAGAGGCUGGAAGAGACAAGGAGUGGAUUUCGCCCUAGAACCUCCAGAGAGGGUGGUCCAUGCUGACGCCUUGACUUCCACCCAGUCCAACUGAUGUCGAACUGCUGGCCGCCAGCUAAGACAGAAUAAGUUUCUGUCAUGCUAAGGCCCCAGGUGGGACACCUACCACAGCACAGCUUGCCAAGCGAUGCCAUAUCUGCACCUGGGAUCCGAACCCCAGCGAACCCCGGGCCUCCGAAGCAGAACUUGCGCACUUAACCGCUCCACCACUGGGCCAGCCCUUUGAAUUAAUUUUUAUAUGUGCUUCAAGGUAUAGAUUUGACCACCAAAUUAGUCCAGCACUAUUUGUUGAGAAGAUUAUCAUUUCUCCACCAUCUUGUUCAAGAAUUUUGCCUAAUGAUUCAAGCUGCCCAGUAAUUUUCAUAUCUCACACUCUCUCUGCCCUGUUUUGGUAACAAGUCACUCUAGUUUCAUCAAAUGAAUCUAGGAGUAUUUGCUAUUUUUCUAGUAUUUGGAACACUUCAUGUAAGAUUGGAAUUAUUUUUCCUGUUUGAAUGUUUGCUACCUGAAUGUUUGUUAUCCACAAAAAGCCAUCUGGACCUGGAAUUUUCUUUGUGGGAAAAUUUUGGCUCUUAAUUUAAGAUUUUAGGUGUGGCAAAAUAAGUUUUUCUAGGAAUUUGUCUUUAUCAUCUACAUUUUCAAACUCAUUGGUAUGAGCAAAUGUUUGUAAUGUCCUCUAAUUGGUUUUAAUUUCUACAACAUCUGUAACGUCUUCUUUUGUAUGCCUGAUAAUAAUUGUU
rnacentral:lncRNA from 1 species